GAUUAUUUUCGAUAAAAAUAUUUUUAUCAUCAAUAUUAUAAAAACUAAAAAUUUUAAAAAUAUAAAAAAUAUAGAUUAUUUAUGAUAAAAUAGUAAAAAUAUCAUAAAUAAUUGACUAUUUAAUAUAAAAAAUAAUUUCAUCAUAAAUAUUUUAUUAUUUUAUGGUGAAAUAAUUUUAUUUUUAGUAAUUAAAAAAAUCAAAAAUUUAAAAAUAUAACUUUCGAUAUUGAAAAAAAAUCAUUCUUCUAGUAUCCAGACUUUGUUGGAUGAUGCAAUAAAAUUUUUCACCCACAACCGAAUCAACCAUCUAUAA
rnacentral:lncRNA from 1 species